UACGGGGGGGGCAAGCGUUGUUCGGAAUUACUGGGCGUAAAGGGUUCGUAGGUGGCCAACUAAGUCAGACGUGAAAUCCCUCAGCUUAACUGGGGAACUGCGUCUGAUACUGGAUGGCUUGAAUCCGGGAGAGGGAUGCGGAAUUCCAGGUGUAGCGGUGAAAUGCGUAGAUAUCUGGAGGAAUACCGGUGGCGAAGGCGGGUCUCUGGGCCGAUACUGACGCUGAGGAGCGAAAGCGUGGGGAGCGAACAGG
rnacentral:rRNA from 1 species